GUUGUAGUGAGAUAGGGGGAGUUGGGGCAGGCAUCUCUAGACACACAGGGGGUUCAGUUUCACAUGCUACUCACGCAGAUAGAAUGGAAGCCCAGCUUGGCCGAAGACCUUUUCCUUAUGAACUUUUCCAUAAGACCCACACUAGGAAAGGCACCUCCGAUAUGGUUGAUUCACGAGCGCAAUCAAUUAAGGAUGCAUUUUUGGCGCUUAAGGAGCAGUCGUCUCAACCACAAGAGGGGUGCAGUGACCCUCCUAUUGUAGAUGAGGUCGCACUAUAUUAUCAAGUUGU